rnacentral:rRNA from 1 species
AUUGAACGCUGGCGGCAGGCCUAACACAUGCAAGUCGAGCGGAUGAAGGGAGCUUGCUCCUGGAUUCAGCGGCGGACGGGUGAGUAAUUCCUAGGAAUCUGCCUGGUAGUGGUGGAUAACGUCCGGAAACGGGCGCUAAUACCGCAUACGUCCUGAGGGAGAAAGUUGGGGUUCUUCGGACCUCACGCUAUCAGAUUAGCCUAGGUGGGAUUAGCUAGUUGGUGGGGUAAAGGCCUACCAAGGCGACGAUCCGUAACUGGUCUGAGAGGAUGAUCAGUCACACUGGAAGUGAGACACGGUAAAGACGCAUACGGGAGGAAGCAGUGGGGAAUAUUGGAAAAUGGGCGAAAGCAUGAUACAGAAAUGCCGCGUGUGUGAAGAAGGACUUCGGAUUGUAAAGCAAUUUAAGUUGGGAGGAAGGGCAGUAAGUUAAUACAUUGAUGUUUUGACGUUACCAACAGAAUAAGGACCGGCUAACUUCGUG